CAUUACUGAGUUUACGCUCUAUAACCCUUUGUGAACAUACCUAUAACUGUUGCUUCGGCGGGUAGGGUCUCCGCGACCCUCCCGGCCUCCCGCCUCCGGGCGGGUCGGCGCCCGCCGGAGGAUAACCAAACUCUGAUUUAACGACGUUUCUUCUGAGUGGUACAAGCAAAUAAUCAAAACUUUUAACAACGGAUCUCUUGGUUCUGGCAUCGAUGAAGAACGCAGCGAAAUGCGAUAAGUAAUGUGAAUUGCAGAAUUCAGUGAAUCAUCGAAUCUUUGAACGCACAUUGCGCCCGCCAGCAUUCUGGCGGGCAUGCCUGUUCGAGCGUCAUUUCAACCCUCAAGCUCUGCUUGGUGUUGGGGCCCUACAGCUGAUGUAGGCCCUCAAAGGUAGUGGCGGACCCUCCCGGAGCCUCCUUUGCGUAGUAACUUUACGUCUCGCACUGGGAUCCGGAGGGACUCUUGCCGUAAAACCCCCCAAUUUUCCUAAGGUUGACCUCGGAUCAGGUAGGAAUACCCGCUGAACUUAAGCAUAUCAA
rnacentral:rRNA from 1 species